rnacentral:antisense_RNA from 1 species
CUUCACCGACCCGAGCCACAGCGGCUGUUCCGCGGUGUGCCCCUGCCCGUACGUCGCCAGCAGCGCCCGGCCCUC